rnacentral:rRNA from 1 species
GACGAACCGUGCGAACGUUGUUCGGAAUCACUGGGCUUAAAGGGCGCGUGGGCGGCGGCUCAAGUCGGCGGUGAAAUCCCCCAGCUCAACUGGGGAAUGGCCGCCGAUACUGGGCUUCUCGAGGGAGGUAGGGGCAUGUGGAACUCAGGGUGGAGCGGUGAAAUGCGUAGAUAUCCUGAGGAACGCCGGUGGCGAAAGCGACGUGCUGGACCUCUUCUGACGCUGAGGCGCGAAAGCCAGGGGAGCAAACGGG